ensembl:snRNA U7 U7 small nuclear RNA
GAAAAUUGUCUCUUUUAGUAUUUCUCCAGUAGGUUUCUCAAGGUGGAGGCCCUC